UCCGCCCGGCCCGCGUCCUCCCCGGUGCCCGGCCCCGCUGCCGGCCCUUACCUUGCAGCGGCCGGCUCUCCCCCGCCGCUAACGCUACUUAUCCCGGGAAAGCUCGAGCGGGCCCCGGGAGCGAACCCACAGACAAAAAGUGAAACUUCAGCAGCAGGCCGGGAGUGGCUGCUGGUUGGUGCUCUCCCCCUCCUUCCUCCCCACCCCCUCCCCGCGGUCUCCCGUGCGGUGCCCUGAGCGCUGGAGGCUGACGUCAGGGGCCUGAAUUCCUGACUUUGCCUGCACGCAUUUGUCCAUGUAAGACGACAGAUUGGAAAGCUGAGCUUGAGCAAAGAGAUCCUGCCAUGGAACACCCCACCCCCCACCCUAAGAGCCUCGUCGGAGCCCCGCCCAGGACUCCAGCAGGACUCAGAAGUCCGGGAUGGUAGAGAGCAACUUCAGUUCCCUUCGCACAGGAGAGCUCCGAAGCUGGGACCUGACCCAGUCCUGCCCCGUGGAGAGGAGCCAGUAUUCUACUCUUAGCUGGGUUUCCGCCUCCAGGCACGACCCGGCCUCUAACUGUGAGCUUAGACCCAAGUUAGAGCUAGGCAGAUGACUUGACCCACUGAAGUGACUAACCCCAGUUCCUGGAAGGUUGUGGUUGACAAGCCUUGAGAAACAAUGGCAAUCGAGUGCUUCAGGGCAACUUCCUGUCCUUUGUUCAAAGACAAGAACCUUUGGAGUUUAACUUUUGCUUCCCAACCCUGCCCUGCCGGAAAACCAACCAGAAAGCUUGCUCUGUUCUUACAGCUUAAAAAAAGAAAAUACACGAACUGGGUGAACUGGUUUGAAUAAAGACAAGCCUGUUCUUGGAA
rnacentral:lncRNA from 1 species